rnacentral:rRNA from 1 species
AGUGGCGAACGGGUGAGUAAUAUAUCGGAACGUGCCCAGUCGUGGGGGAUAACGCAGCGAAAGCUGUGCUAAUACCGCAUACGAUCUCUGGAUGAAAGCGGGGGACUCGCAAGAGCCUCGCGCGAUUGGAGCGGCCGAUAUCAGAUUAGCUAGUUGGUGGGGUAAAAGCCCACCAAGGCGACGAUCUGUAGCUGGUCUGAGAGGACGACCAGCCACACUGGAACUGAGACACGGUCCAGACUCCUACGGGAGGCAGCAGUGGGGAAUUUUGGACAAUGGGCGCAAGCCUGAUCCAGCAAUGCCGCGUGCAGGAUGAAGGCCUUCGGGUUGUAAACUGCUUUUGUACGGAACGAAACGGUCCUUUCUAAUACGAGGGGCUAAUGACGGUACCGUAAGAAUAAGCACCGGCUAACUACGUGCCAGCAGCCGCGGUAAUACGUAGGGUGCGAGCGUUAAUCGGAAUUACUGGGCGUAAAGCGUGCGCAGGCGGUGAUGUAAGACAGAUGUGAAAUCCCCGGGCUCAACCUGGGACCUGCAUUUGUGACUGCAUCGCUAGAGUACGGUAGAGGGGGAUGGAAUUCCGCGUGUAGCAGUGAAAUGCGUAGAUAUGCGGAGGAACACCGAUGGCGAAGGCAAUCCCCUGGACCUGUACUGACGCUCAUGCACGAAAGCGUGGG